rnacentral:rRNA from 1 species
UACGGAGGAUGCAAGCGUUAUCCGGAAUGAUUGGGCGUAAAGCGUCCGCAGGUGGCUAUGUAAGUCUGCUGUUAAAGAGUGAGGCUCAACCUCAUAAGAGCAGUGGAAACUACAUGGCUAGAGUGCGUUCGGGGCGAGAGGGAAGUUCCUGGUGUAGCGGUGAAAUGCGGUAGAGAUCAGGAAGAACACCGGUGGCGAAAGCGCUCUGCUAGGCCGCAACUGACACUCAUGGACGAAAGCUAGGGGAGCGAAUGGG